rnacentral:rRNA from 1 species
GUGGUGAAUAUUGGACAAUGGGCGAAAGCCUGAUCCAGCCAUGCCGCGUGUGUGAAGAAGGUCUUCGGAUUGUAAAGCACUUUAAGUUGGGAGGAAGGGCAGUAAGCUAAUACCUUGCUGUUUUGACGUUACCGACAGAAUAAGCACCGGCUAACUUCGUGCCAGCAGCCGCGGUAAUACGAAGGGUGCAAGCGUUAAUCGGAAUUACUGGGCGUAAAGCGCGCGUAGGUGGUUCGUUAAGUUGGAUGUGAAAGCCCCGGGCUCAACCUGGGAACUGCAUCCAAAACUGGCGAGCUAGAGUACGGUAGAGGGUGGUGGAAUUUCCUGUGUAGCGGUGAAAUGCGUAGAUAUAGGAAGGAACACCAGUGGCGAAGGCGACCACCUGGACUGAUACUGACACUGAGGUGCGAAAGCGUGGGGAGCAAACAGGAUUAGAAACCCUGAGUAGUCC